CCAUCUCAAAAAAAUAAAAAAAAUAAAAAAAAAAAGAAGAAAAGAAAAAACCUCCAUUUGAUUUUGAUUUUGAAUGAUAGCAAAAAGGAAUAAAUUUGGCUUCCACCAGACAUGAAACAGGAUAUAUCUUCUUAAUUUAUUCACUUAAGUCCAAUGUUGUUUUUAAGGUCUGGACAAAUAAACAUACAACUUUGUAUCAGUAUAUUAGAAGUAUGUUGUGUAAGAUCAGGAAAGAACUUAAGGAAAUGUGGAAAGCAUUCAACCUCUAAAUCAGCAUAUACAUUGCUACUAUUACUUUCCAAGGAAAAACAGAAUUUAGGUUUUUUUUAAAAAACUUAUGUAACCAUUGAUUAUGACCUCAGGGACUUUGGAAUAACUACAGAAGGGUCAUCUAGGUUUUUUAACUGUCAUCAAAGCUUUGCAAAUAGUUUAAAAAGACAUUG
rnacentral:lncRNA from 10 species